rnacentral:lncRNA from 1 species
GAAUACGUCACGUCCUGGCUCGAGAACCUGGGAAAGGACUGGGUGGCUGAAAGAUGGCUGGAAAGCGCAUUUAGCCAACCGAGCCUGCGCAUGGAACCUGCGGCGCUGCACAGCUGCAUAGAGAUGUGGAGCACCUCCCUUUACCGUAGAAAGUAGGCGAGCCAGCUCGAGGCACUAUACUGAGGAAGCGCUGCGGCCUACUUCCGCCGUUUUUCUUAACAUCAAAGAAACUUCCGGUAGUGGGGUGUCUUGCAUUCCACCGUGUCGGUGCCCCAGAAUGAGACGCAAGCUGAUCUGCAGAUCCCGCAGGGUGCCUUCUGCUCUUUUCGGGGCAGGUUGGCCGGUAGGGGAGAAGGCCGCCAUUGGAACGCGGCCUUUAUGUCGGGUUCUCUCAAGAGUCUAAGAUCGCACCCUCACCAGCGGAGGGAAGGAGCCCACUCCCAGCCACACCGCUUUGUUUUCUUUCGCUUAGCCUUGUUGCGCCGUUCUCUAAGCCACUCAUGUCCUUAGAUCAGAUUGAGGGGCCCGCAGGAUUUAAGCCUUUAAUCCACAGCACAUUCCAAGCACCUACCCGGUGGUAGGCCCUAACAAGGAACACAGGCAAGUGACACGCUGCCUGGCCUGAAAGGUCCGCUCAGACCUUUACAUGAAGUUAAUAAAUGUUAAGCUUCAGGGCCCCUCGCUUGUAUGGCCUCCUGGGAGAAUAGAUAGUUGCUGAGUUGUGGAGAGGGGAAGCCAGCUUGAGAUUAGGAAGCAAAUCUAUGUAAGCAUUUCUAAUAAAUUACCCAGAGAGAUCUAAGGAGAAUCUGAAUCUCCAAGUCUCUAGUAA